UCUCGAUAGCGUAAAAGUUAACUCAAAUUUGUAUGGAAUUGGAUCAUUUGCCUGUGUUGGUCGCUAGGGGUACUGUUCCAACUGCAUACAAAAUUAGUUAACUUUUACGCUAUCGA
rnacentral:pre_miRNA from 9 species